ACUUUGCAAAGGCUUCCUCUAAAGCCACAUCUGUCCCAGAGAGACCCCCGAAAGUGGAGGAAAGGGGUCGGCUGGCUGGAGUUGGGGCCCGGAGGCUGCCCAGAUCAGGAGGAAUGGGUGAGGGCUGAGGUCCCAACGGGAUGGUCAGAACCCUCUCCCCGCACCUCCCUCCUGCUUUUACCCCCACCCUCCCGCUUCCCCUCCCCCCCCCACCCCUCCCCUUCUCGUACCCUUCAGGCCUCCGAGGGAGGGUCAGCUCUGCCGGCUCAAGUUACAAGAACUUGAAGACAGGAAGAUUUAGCGAGGGAGCCGCGGCCAAGCACAGUGCGCUGUUUGUCCGCCUUUGAAACCAGAGGCUGCGAGGCGGGGGCCGGCGCCCCCUCCCCACAGCCCCGGCGAGUUCCUGGACGGGCGCGCGCAAGCACAGCGACCCCUACCGGCUCCUCCACUCUCCCCAGCCACCUCCUCCAGGAAGCUCGCUCGGGCUUCCGGGACCUGGAAGAGUCCUGUAGAGACUGUCUGAGAGAUGCUUUUGGCCUCCCAGACAUUUUGUCCUUGGGUCCUCACUAAUACAUCACGAGGUCUCUUCACUUGAACCAGUUGGGGGUAAACUUCGUUUCCCGUCGUGACCCUGCCUGAUACAGCACCUUCUGCCCAGGCCACAAAACAAGCCAUGGCCAGCGGGAGGCCAAGGGACAAGAGAGAGAUUGCCAGAGGGCAGAAACACACAGGACAAAAUGGGGCAGAGAAGCAGAAACAGGGAGAGAUUAAAAAGGCAAAGGCUGGCCGGGCGCUGUGGCUCAUGCCUGUAAUCUCAACAUUUUGGGAGGCCUGAAGGAGGUGGAUCACUUGAGCCCAAGAGUUUGAGAUCAGCCUGGGCAACAUAGCAAGACCCCGUCUCUGCAAAAAAAAAUUAAAAAAUUUAGCUAGGCAUGAUGGUUCACCCCUCUGAUUGCCUGAUUGCUUAAGUUCCAGGCUGCAGUGAGCUGCGAUUGCACCAUUGUACUCUGGCCUGGGCAACAGAGCCAGAUCCUGUCUCUAAAAAUAAAUAAAUAGAUAAAUAUAUAAGACAAUGACCAUCAUCUUUCUUCAUAGCCAAGAACCCUCAGCUUCGAGAGAUGAACUUUAAGGACCUCCUCCUCCCCAGGAAGGGAGAUAUGGAGCUCAUUACAAACCAGAGCCCAGAGCCCCACUUUACACCUGCAGGUUCAGUAACUAGAGAAUCAGGGACCCAGAGUCUGCAUU
rnacentral:lncRNA from 1 species